GGGAGACUCUGACUUCUGUCUUGCUAGGAUGUUCUGACUCUUUGUGCUUGCUGGCUCUAAUGAAGCCAGCUGCUCUGUCAUGAGAGGCAGCUUAGAGAGGCUCACGUGGCAAGGCAUUGAGGGUGGCCUCCAACCAACAGCUAGUGAGAAAUUGAAGUCCUCAGCCCAAUGGCCCAUGAAAAACUGAAUUCUGCAAAUAACCACACUCCCUCCCUAGAGAUCUCAUCAAAUAACCAGGAAAGACCAACCAACAGAGAAGAGACUGGAAUCAUCUGCCCAGAAAGACUUUUCAUCUAUUCUUCUAAGGACAGCUCCAAGAGAUUACCUGGGGGACUUUGUAUAAAAAAUAAGACAACCUGUGUUCCUGUGCAGCUUCAUCCCUCAUCUUUCCCUAAGUGUCAAGAAGCAAUAGUUAGUCCACAAGCACGAGUGAAAUUACUGAACAAAAUUAAGAUGGAUACAGCACUCUAAAACACCCAUUUGAAUGCAUGUGAAAUCGACGACUUUCUCAAGCUCCACGACCCUCAAACUAGAACAAGACCUCUCCUCCUCCCUGACUCGCCAGCUUCCGAACCCUUGAACUACAACGACAUUGCUCCUGCCUGGAUCUGCAGCUCCACGACCCUAAAACCAGAACAAGACCUCUCCUCCACGGGUUGCCAGCUACCAGACCCUCGAAUUACAACAACAUUGCUGCUGCCUGGGUCUGCAGUUCCACGACCCUCAAACUAGAACAAGACCUCUCCUCCCCGGGUCGCCAGCUUGCAGACCCUCAAACUACGACAACAUUGCUCCUCCCUGGGUCUGCAGUUCCACGACCCUCAAACUAGAACAAGACUUCUCCUGCCCGGGUUGCCAGCUACCUGACCUUCGAACUACAACAACAUUGCUCCUCCUUGGGUCUGCAGCUCCAUGAACCUCAAACUAGAACAAGACCUCUCCUCCCUGGGUCUCCAGCUUCCUGACCCUGGAACUACAACAACAUGGCUCCUCGCUGGGUCUGCAGCUCCUCAACUCUCACCCUAGAACAGCAGCACCAGCUCCUUCCUGGACCUCCCGAUCAAUGACCCUCAGACUUCAAAGGCAGCACCAGUUCCACCCCCAGGCUCCAGCUCCAGCACCCUCAGAUCUGAACAGCAGCAGCACCAGCUCCUGUGUGGCUCUUCUGUUUCAUGAUCCUUAAAUUAGAACAGCAGCACCAUCUUCUCCCUGGGUCUCCAGCUCUACAAAACUCAAGCUAGAAUAGCAGCACCGGCUCCUCUGGGAUCUUCAGCUCCACGACCCUGCAACAUCAGUGCAGCACCGGCUCCUCCCCUGGGCUCCAGCUCCAGGACCCUCAAACUUGAACAAAAACACCAGCUCCUCCCCAGGCCUCCAGCUCCUUGACCCUCAUAAACAAUCCCUUCUUAUGAAAUGUAGCAGUCAGGAAAACUGCAGAGGAAGUAAAUAAAUAAAUGUUUUCCUUUCAAAAAAAAAGUACUUAAUUUGUUUUUAAAAGGCAAGGUCUUGCUCCAUCACCCAGGCUGGAGUGCAGAAGGAGGAUGGUUUUAAAUGAGAGAGGGAAAACAGGAAGAAAAGUAACUUUUCCUUUUUAGUCUCUAUGUGCCAGGCAUAUGUGAAAGUCAAGAUAAUAAAUGUAUUCCAUAGUGGUUGUACCAGUUUACAUUCCCAACAGCAGUGUAGAAGUGUUACCUUUUCACUGCAUUCAUGCCAACAUCUAUUUUUUUUAUUUUUUUGAUAAUGGUCAUUCUUGCAGGAGUAAGGUGGCUUUGUGCAUUUUGAGCAUUGUGGUCUUGAUUUGCAUUUGUGCAUUUUGAUCAUUUGUGCAUUUUGAGCAUUGUGGUUUUGAUUUGCAUUUCCCUGAUCAUUAGUGAUGUUGAGCAUUUUUUCAUAUGUCUGUUGGUCAUUUGUGUGUCUUCUUUUGAGAACUGUCUAUUCAUGUCCUUAGCCCACUUUUUGAUGAGUUUUUUUUCUUGCUAAUUUGAGUUCCUUGUAGAUUCUAGAUAUUAAUUCUUUGUCAGAUGUAUAGAUUGUGAAGAUUUUCUCCCACUCUGUGGGUUGUCUAUUUACUCUGCUGUUACUUUUGCUGUGCAAAAGCUCUUUAGUUUAAUUAAAUCCCUCCUAUUUAUCUUUGUUUUUGUUGCAUUUGCUUUUGGGUUCUUGGUCAUACAAUCUUUGCCUAAGCCAAUGUCUAGAAGGGUUUUUCUGAUGUUAUCUUCUAGAAUUUUUAUAGUUUCAGGUCUUAAAGAACUAAAAGUAGAACUACCAUUUGAUCUGGCAAUUCCACUAUUGGAUAUCUACCCAGAGGAAAAGAAGUCAUUAAGCAAAAAAGAUAUGCACACGCAUGUUUAUAGCAACACAAUUUACGAUUGGAAAAAUGUGGAACUAGCCCAAUUGCCCAUCAAUCAAUGAGUGGAUAAAGAAACUGUGGUGUGUGUGCGUAUAUAUGAUGGGAUACUACUCAGCCAUAAAAAGGAAUGAAUUAAUGGCAUUUGCAGCAACCUGGACAUGAUUGGAGACUAUGAUUCUAAGUGACACAACUCAGGAAUGGAAAACCAAACAUCGUAUGCUUUCAUUCAUAAAUGGGAGCUAAGCUAUGAGGAUGCAAAGGCAUAAGAAGGAUACAGUGG
rnacentral:lncRNA from 1 species